rnacentral:lncRNA from 1 species
GCAAGGGUGAUCCAAAAAUGACAGGCAAGGCUCCCAGGAGCACUGAAGACGGAGCAAGAUGUGACUGACAGACGAUGGGCCUCUGACCACCAUCCUCCCCAGGCAUUCCUGGCAAGGCGGCUUGAACUCCAGCCCUUUCC